AGGGCACCACCAGGAGUGGAGCCUGCGGCUUAAUUUGACUCAACACGGGGAAACUCACCCGGCCCGGACACCGGAAGGAUUGACAGAUUGAUAGCUCUUUCUUGAUUCGGUGGAUGGUGGUGCAUGGCCGUUCUUAGUUGGUGGAGCGAUCUGUCUGGUUAAUUCCGAUAACGAACGAGACUCUAGCCUAUUAAAUAGACGUCGGGUUCUCUGCACUCGACGGUCUUCUUAGAGGGACAAGGUGCUUUUAGCACCGCGAAACAGAGCAAUAACAGGUCUGUGAUGCCCUUAGAUGUCCGGGGCCGCACGCGCGCUACACUGAAGGAAGCAGCGUGUAACAACCUUGUUCCAACGAAACUGGGUAACCCCGUGGAACUUUCCUUCAUGAUUGGGAUAGGGGUUUGCAAUUGUGGCCCCUUUGAACGAGGAAUUCCCCAGUAAACACUAGUCAUCAGCUAGUGCUGAUUACGUCCCUGCCCUUUGUACACACCGCCCGUCGCUACUACCGAUUGAAUGGUU
rnacentral:rRNA from 1 species